rnacentral:rRNA from 1 species
UAUUGGUCAAUGGGCUUACGCCUGAACCAGCCAAGUCGCGUGAGGGAAGACUGCCCUAUGGGUUGUAAACCUCUUUUGUCAGGGAGCAAUUGGCGCUACGUGUAGCGUUAUCGAGAGUACCUGAAGAAAAAGCAUCGGCUAACUCCGUGCCAGCAGCCGCGGUAAUACGGAGGAUGCGAGCGUUAUCCGGAUUUAUUGGGUUUAAAGGGUGCGUAGGCGGCCUGCCAAGUCAGCGGUAAAAUUGCGGGGCUCAACCCCGUACAGCCGUUGAAACUGCCGGGCUCGAGUGGGCGAGAAGUAUGCGGAAUGCGUGGUGUAGCGGUGAAAUGCAUAGAUAUCACGCAGAACCCCGAUUGCGAAGGCAGCAUACCGGCGCCCUACUGACGCUGAGGCACGAAAGUGCGGGGAUCA